rnacentral:rRNA from 1 species
GACGAACGCUGGCGGCGUGCUUAACACAUGCAAGUCGAACGGAAAGGCCCUGCUUGUGUGGGGUGCUCGAGUGGCGAACGGGUGAGUAACACGUGAGUAACCUGCCCUGGACUUUGGGAUAACUUCAGGAAACUGGGGCUAAUACCGGCUAGGAGCUCCUGCUGCAUGGUGGGGGUUGGAAAGUUUCGGCGGUUGGGGAUGGACUGGCGGCUUAUCAGCUUGUGGGUGGGGUAGUGGCUUACCAAGGCUUUGACGGGUAGCCGGCCUGAGAGGGUGACCGGCGAUCUUGGGACUGAGAUGAGGCCGAGACUCCUACGGUAGGCAGCAGUGCGGAAUAUUGCACAAUGGGCGGAAGCCUGAUGCAGCAACGCCGCGUGCGGGAUGACGGCCUUCGGGUUGUAAACCGCUUUCGCCUGUGACGAAGGGUGAGUGACGGUAAUGGGUAAAGAAGCACCGGCUAACUACGUG